rnacentral:pre_miRNA from 1 species
UNAGUACUCCCUCCGUCCCAAAAUUCUUGUCUUAGAUUUGUCUAGAUACGGAUGUAUCAAGUCACAUUUUAGUAUUAGAUACAUCCGUAUCUAGACAAAUCUAAGACAAGAAAUUUGAGACAGAGGGAGUAGUUG